rnacentral:lncRNA from 13 species
AUGCAGCAAACACUGCAUGCCACAAACAGCUGCCACCUUCUGCUGGGGCUCCAGAGAGAGAGAGGGUUGGGUGUAGGACAUGGAGCAUCAGACACACCACACGCUCCGCUCCUCUGUCCCAAACCCCCAGCCGAACCCCCAGCUGAGGGCUAAAUCCCCUCCUGUUCCCUGAUUAAGAGGUGAGGACCACUCCACUCCACUACCAUUGUCAACUCUCUCCUGACAUGAACUGAAGCCACGUCUCAUGUAUCCACACAUCCACUGGCACUGCGAGUGCCCCUAUCAAUUGUCUCUCAUUAGCGUAUGUACAGCGAAUUAAAUGCACAAUCACAAUAUUACACAUCAAUGAUUUUACUCCUUGCUUGGACUAAUUCUUAGCUCUUUCGUCUAACUGUGUAGUGUGUUGUCAUUUUUCUCUCCUCAGUCAAAUCCUGAACACGCCUCAUACCCUCAUUCAAUUACUGCUGUGAUCCCUUCCCAACACUAUGUAAGUAGCCCUCUCAUUUCCAUUCCCCAUAAUAUUGUACUAUAAAUGUCUUUAUUGAAUGCUGUAGGUUAAAAUAGGUGAGUCUGACGAUUUUUGAAACACACUUUGUCAUCUGUGUGUUCUGCGCCUAUAGGUCUCCCAUCUUCCUCAAUGUUUCAGGUCACCAGCCUCCACUGAUGUACAGUAUAUGGAAAGACCAUCUAUAUACUGAAAAAUCCCUCUCUUCAAAUCAAUGAUGAUGAAUCACAUACAGUACAGUACUACUCCAGUAACUCCGCCUAAGGCAGUGGUAAAGAUAGUGAAGAUAGUUUCCUGUGGCUGUCCAACCAUCAACCAAAAGCAAAGAGUCACAUGCAGGUAAAGCUUUCAAUUUGAACAUUACUUUGCUCUAAAAACUUUGAAGUGCCAAGUGAAGUCUUCUAUGAAACUUUGAUGAAGUAGGUCAUAAAAUAUGGAGGCCGUUACGAAGUGGACAUUAAUGGGUUGCCCAUGGGUAGACCCCUCCAUGCAGAGUCUGUGAUGAGGUGAAACUACCUGCUGUGCUGAACACAAGAUUUCAGGAAUGGAGGCGUGAGCAGAGCAGAGUACUACAAUUAAACUCCUCAUACCAAAAAUAAAUAUGUACACAAUUCAAGUAUGUACAUUGCAUUAAAAUGUAAUGUUAGUAAUAUUAUAAUUUACAUUAAUUAUUUAUAUUAAAAUGUUUUGUAUGUAAUGUAGGCUACAUAAAAUGUUGAAAACAUAUCUACGUAUAUCCCACAGUGUAUGUCUCACAGUCCAUCAUUACUUUAAGACAUG